UCGAGGAUCUUCGGCAAUGGGGGCAACCCUGACCGAGCGACGCCGCGUGUGCGACGAAGGCCUUCGGGUUGUAAAGCACUGUCGAGGGGGAGAAAAGCCCGCAAGGGUGUGAUCUAUCCCUGGAGGAAGCACGGGCUAAGUUCGUGCCAGCAGCCGCGGUAAGACGAACCGUGCGAACGUUGUUCGGAAUCACUGGGCUUAAAGGGCGCGUAGGCGGGCUGCCAAGUCCGUAGGUGAAAUCCCCCGGCUCAACCGGGGAACGGCCUCGGAUACUGGCGGCCUGGAGGGGGGUAGGGGCGUGCGGAACUGUGGGUGGAGCGGUGAAAUGCGUUGAGAUCCACAGGAACUCCGGUGGCGAAGGCGGCACGCUGGACCCUUUCUGACGCUGAGGCGCGAAAGCCAGGGGAGCGAACG
rnacentral:rRNA from 1 species